GGACGGCCUCGGUGAGGGACGGGCCGGCCACGUAGCCGGUGGCGACCCAGGGCACCGCGGCCCCGGGGUCCGCGUCCAGCACGGGGGCCGUCCAC
rnacentral:tRNA from 1 species